rnacentral:rRNA from 1 species
UACGGAGGGUGCAAGCGUUAUCCGGAUUCACUGGGUUUAAAGGGUGCGUAGGAGGGCAGGUAAGUCAGUGGUGAAAUCUCCGAGCUUAACUUGGAAACUGCCGUUGAUACUAUCUGUCUUGAAUAUUGUGGAGGUGAGCGGAAUAUGUCAUGUAGCGGUGAAAUGCUUAGAUAUGACAUAGAACACCAAUUGAGAAGGCAGCUCGCUACACAUAUAUUGACUCUGAGGCACGAAAGCGUGGGGAUCAAACAGG